rnacentral:rRNA from 1 species
GAAGGGCGGGCUAAACCCGCGUACAUGCCACCGGGGCAUCCCGGAGGCAGGAAAGGCUUCGGCCGGACAGGGAUGGGCAUGCGGCGCAUUAGGCAGUAGGCGGGGUAACGGCCCACCUAACCGACGAUGCGUAGGGGUUCUGAGAGGAAGGUCCCCCACACUGGUACUGAGACACGGACCAGACUCCUACGGGAGGCAGCAGUGAGGAAUAUUGGUCAAUGGUCGGGAGACUGAACCAGCCAAGCCGCGUGAGGGAGGAAGGUACAGAGUAUCGUAAACCUCUUUUGUCAGGGAACAAAGACUGGGACGCGUCCCCGGAUGAGUGUACCUGAAGAAAAAGCAUCGGCUAACUCCGUGCCAGCAGCCGCGGUAAUACGGAGGAUGCGAGCGUUAUCCGGAUUUAUUGGGUUUAAAGGGUGCGCAGGCGGUCUGUUAAGUCAGCGGUCAAAGCCCGGGGCUCAACCCCGGCCCGCCGUUGAAACUGGCAGUCUCGAGUUGGAGAGAAGUACGCGGAAUGCGCGGUGUAGCGGUGAAAUGCAUAGAUAUCGCGCAGAACUCCGAUUGCGAAGGCAGCAUGCCGGCUCCACACUGACGCUGAGGCACGAAAGCGUGGGUAUCGAACAGGAUUAGAUACCCUGGUAGCCC